AUGGACCACAACAAACUAUGGAAAAUUCUUAAAGAGAUGGAAAUACCAGACCACCUGACCUGCCUCUUGAGAAAUCUGUAUGUAGGUCAGGAAUCAAGAGUUAGAACUGGACAUGGAACAACAGACUGGUUCCAAAUUGGGAAAGGAGUACGUCAAGGCUGUAUAUUGUCACCCUGCUUAUUUAACUUCUAUGCAGAGUACAUCAUGAGAAACACUGGGCUGGAAGAAACACAAACUGGAAUCAAGAUUGCCAGGAGAAAUAUCAAUCACCUCAGAUAUGCAGCAGACACCAGCAUUACGGCAGAAAGUGAAGAAGAACUAAAGAGCCUCUUGAUGAAAGUGAAAGAGGAGAGUAAAAAUGUUGGCUUAAAACUCAACAUUCAGAAAACGAAGAUCAUGGCAUCUGGUCCCAUCACUUCAUGGCAAAUAGAUGGGGAAACAUUGGAAACAGUGUCAGACUUUAUUUUGGGGGGCUCCAAAAUCACUGGAGAUGGUGAUUUCAGCCAUGAAUUUAAAAGACACUUGCUCCUUGGAAGAAAAGUUAUGACCAACCUAGACAGCAUAUUACAAAGCAGAGACAUUACUUUGCCAACAAAAGUCCGUCUAGUCAAAGCUUUGGUUUUUCCAGUAGUCAUGUAUGGAUGUGAGAGUUGGACUAUAAAGAAAGUUGAGCACCAAAGAAUUGAUGCUUUUGAACUGUGGUGUUGGAGAAGACUCUUGAGAGUCCCUUGGACUGCAAGGAGAUCCAACAAGUCCAUUCUGAAGGAGAUCAGUCCUGGGUGUUCUUUGGAAGGACUGAUGCUAAAGCUGAAACUCCAGUACUUUGGCCACCUGAUGCGAAGAAUUGACUCAUUGGAAAAGACUCUGAUGCUGGGAGAGAUUGAGGGCAGGAGGAGAAGGGGACAACAGAGGAUGAGAUGGCUUGAUGACAUCACUGACUCGAUGGAUGUGAGUCUUAGUGAACUCCGGGAGUCAGUGAUGGACAGGGAGGCCUGGUGUGCUGCAAUUCAUGGGGUCACAAAGAGUUGGACAUGA
rnacentral:lncRNA from 1 species